rnacentral:lncRNA from 1 species
AAAAAGUAAGUGCUUACAUGCAGAUACUCAUAGGACAGUAGUAGGAGGGAGUGAAAGGGUGAAGGGAGUACAGAUAAUACAUAGGGAUGAACGUCAUGUACAUAUAACAGAUAAGUUCCGGGAUAGAGAAGGAACAGACUAAUUUAGGGGAGACAGCUCAGGUGGGGGCUAUCUGUUCCCGGAACUAAACAUAUAUGGUCUUAAGUGUCGUUUUAAGCAUUAAGCAUUUCCUGAGUCCAAGUAAACCAAUUUUAAUAUAGGAUAUCUAACAUGACACCUAUAAGCUUGAGCCUUGGAAUCAAUGUAAAUUCUUUUACAAUUCGGAGGUUUAUUUUUUCCCUUAAUAAUCUGUUAUAUUCAAGAGUAAGGCUGGAAUGAGGUCGAAUUUAGAUAAAACACGUUAUUAAAAAUGGAAUUCAGUUUCUCAUUUGUAAUAAUUAAGUGAACAAUGAUUAGUGUUUUAUAUACAUUAAAAUAUUUUAAUAUUCUAGGACAAAUAACAAAGGUACUCUCAGGAUCCUUUUUAACAUACAUGAGGUUGGAAGUUUCUACAAAUCAUCAAAACUCAGCUUUAUUACUUCUUUCGUUGGAUCUGAAUUCAAAGGGAUACUCUAAACAUCAUGAUAAGCCAAAGGCACUGUGCUAACCCAGUCUUCUCAGUUUAUCAUCACUGUCCAAACUUUGCUUCUGCAUUAUACAACCUGCAGGAGUCAGACAUAGCUUUAAUCAAUGAGAGAGACACAUUUUGUUUAUAAGAUUGUUAGUAAACAGAUUGCACCUACAGACCUUUCUCGCCAUAACCACUAGAAUGUGAUGUAGUGGUUAUGGUAAUGGAAGUGUGCCUUCAAAGAACUAUGUCCUAGCUGAGUAUUUGCUUUCCAUUUUAUUUCUUAUGGAUCUGAAAUUCUUCCUUGAAUGUUUUCUUUGGUGACCAGAAACCAAUUCCCUUGUGUUGAGCUGGGGCUGCAGAAGAAUAAUAUAGCAUUUUGGAAAGAAGAUACAAAACAGAAGUCCUGCACUAGAGGAGAGGAUGGCAAAGAUUUCUGUUGCCACGGACAGUUUGCCAUCUGUGCUGAGGUAUGGUGGGACGAAAGACACCCAGACAAUCAAGAACACCAACAUGCUGAAGGUGAUAUGAGUUGCUUCAUUGAAGGCUCCAGGUAGUUUUCUUGCCAAAAAGGCAACUAAAAAACAUAUUACAGACAAAAGACCUAGGUAACACAGCAUAAGCCAGAAGCCAAGGCCAUCGUUACAUUGGAUUAUUACUUUUCCAAGCUGGCUUUUAACAUCAUGCUCUAGAAAAGGAGGAUCUACACUGAUCCAAAAAAGACAAAGAAUGAACUGAAGGAAAGUGCAACUUAGGGCAAUCAAAAUGGGCCAGCGAGGUCCCAUUAGCACUCUGAUACAUCCCCCAGGUUGGUUAGCUCGGAACGCUAGGACAACAAUGAAGGUUUUGGCCAAAAGGCAAGAUACACAUAAGGUGAAGAGCACUCCAAAGGCUGCCUGACGUAUGAGGCACAUUUGAUUGCCUGGUGGGAGGAGUAGGAGGACAGGGCAGAGGAAACAGAAAGUGAGACCGGCAAGUAGUAGGAAGCUGAGGGCCUGGUUAUUGGCUCGGACUAGUGGGGUAUCUCGAUUCUUGACGAAGAGAAACAAAACAAAUCCUGGUAGAGCGGAGCCAAGGAUGGAUGUCGUUCCCAGUGAGAUUCCUAGAGGAUCAGUGAAGGACAGUAACUCAACCUCCC